UUUGUAGUGGCAGUUUUGAAAUUGUAGACAAAAGAAAGAACUGUGGCAUGUGUGCUACUCUGAGACCGCACUGAGAGGCCAAUGAUGCAAGUCAGUCAACUUUACCCGUCACAUGCGUGGCUGUUGAUGGUCUGGGCCAGCUUGGAUUGAUCGUUGACAUUAUUACACCUACCAACAAGUCUCUUCCUUCUUUCCAUCGCCUGUUGCCUCUUCUCAGAUCUCCUAAUCAGAUCUCCUAAUCAGAUCUCCCUGUGGUUGAGCAAGGAAACAUGGCAGAGUCGCUGCUGCUCCCCGUGGUGCGCGGCGUCGUCGGCAAGGCGGCUGACGCUCUCGUGCAGAGCAUCACUCGCAUGUGGGGCGUCGACAAGGACCGCCUCAAGCUCGAGCGCCACCUGCUGUACGUGCAGUCCUUGCUGGCCGACGCCGAGGCGAAGAGCGAGACCAACCACGCCGUCCGGACGUGGAUGAAGGAGCUCAAGGCCGCCGCAUACCAGGCCGACGACGUCCUCGACGACUUCCAGUACGAGGCGCUGCGCCGUGAGGCCCUGAGCGGCCAGUCCAUGGCAAGCAAGGUACUGAGCAACUUCACCUCAAAGAAUCGUCUUGUAUUCCGUCAUAAAGCGAGCAGAGAUCUGAAGAACGUGCUCGAAAAGAUUGACGAGCUCGUGACCGAGAUGACAAAGUUUGGCCUGGUGGCGCUUGCGGAGGCGCCGCUGCAAGCUCUUCCUCGGCAGACGCACUCAGCACUGGAUGAAUCCAGAGAGAUAUUUGGCAGAGAAGAUGACAAAGAUGGGGUGGUGAAACUGUUGCUGGACCAGCAAGAUCGGCAGGAUGUACAAGUGCUACCCAUCCUUGGAAUGGGGGGUGUGGGCAAGACCACGCUAGCCAAGAUGGUGUACAACAACGACAAAAUUCAGAAGCACUUUGAAUUGAGGAUGUGGCACUGCGUGUCAGAAAAUUUUGAAGCUAUUCCUCUUGUUAGAUCUGUAAUUGAGUUGGCUACAAAUAGCACAUGUGAUCUGCCUGACACGAUCGAGCUGCUGCGAGGAAAACUGCAGGAAGCUAUUGGCCGCAAAAGGUUCCUACUCAUUCUCGACGAUGUGUGGAACGAAGACCAAAACAAGUGGGAGGAUGACUUGAGGCCGCUACUUUGUUCUUCAAUUGGUGGAUCAGGAAGCAAGAUAGUUGUUACAAGUAGAAGCCGACAAGUGGCGUCAAUAAUGGGCACCCUUCCACCUCAUGAAUUAGUGUGUUUGAGCGAAGAUGAUUCAUGGGAAUUGUUCUCAAAGAAAGCAUUUAGUAAAGGAGUGCAAGAGCAAGCAGAGUUUGUCAAAAUUGGCAGAUGUAUCAGCAAGAAGUGCAAGGGACUGCCUCUUGCACUGAAGACAAUGGGUGGAUUGAUGAGUUCAAAACAACAAAUCGAGGAAUGGAAGGCCAUUGCAGAUUGCAAUAUUAGUGAUACCAAUAGAGGUAAAGAUGAGGUACUGCCCAUACUAAAACUGAGCUACAAGCACUUGUCCCCUGAGAUGAAGCAAUGCUUUGCCUUCUGUUCACUUUUCCCCAAGGACUAUGAGAUGGAGAAGGACAUGUUGAUUCAACUAUGGAUGGCAAACGGUUAUGUUCACGAAGAGGGGACGAUGGACUUGACACAAAAAGGGGAAUAUGUCUUCAACGAGUUGGCUUGGAGGUCCUUUUUCCAACAUGUGAUAUUAGUGAGGGUGCCCUAUUCUAAUUUUAUACAUGACUCAAAACAUGAGAUAAAUGGAUGUAAAAUGCACGACUUGAUGCAUGACCUUGCAAAAGAUGUUGCACAUGAAUGUGCAAAUGCGAAAGAGUUAAUUCAGCAAAACCUGCCUGUAAAUGACAUCCGUCACUUGCAUAUUUCGAGACAUGAUCAAUUGAAUAAAAUCAGCCAGUUACACGGAGGCACUAUGUAUCUUCGCACUUUGUUGAUACCACCAUCAUUGUACAAGGAUCUGUCCAAGGAUAUGGUGAAGUCAAAACUGAUGUCAUCAAGAGCAUUGAGUAUUCGUUGCAGAGAUACUUCAAUCGUCCAUAUGGAGCUCACACGCACAACACAUUUACGGUAUCUUGAUCUCUCUGGCUCGAUGAUUGUCAGCUUGCCAAACUCAAUCUGUAUGUUGUAUAAUUUACUGUCUUUGAGGCUUAAUGGCUGCUCCCGACUACAAUAUUUACCUGAGGGUAUGAGAACUAUGAGGAAGCUCUGCCAUAUUUGUCUCUUCGGGUGUCGUAGCUUGGAACGAAUGCCCCCAAAACUUAGUGUACUACACAACCUUCGCACACUAACAACAUUUGUUGUGGGCACAAAAGAUGGAUGUGGAAUCGAGGAGCUCGAAGACCUACGACAUAUUGGCAACAGGUUGGAACUGUAUAAUUUGCGGGAAGUAAAGUGUGGGUCGAAGGCCAAUCUCCAUGCGAAAUAUAAUCUAAAUGAACUGUUGUUGUGUUGGGAUCAUUUUCGUGAUGAAUAUGAUGAGUCUACAAUUGGUGAGGCCACUAAUCAUGAACAAGUAUUGGAAUCUCUUGUACCUCAUGAUAAGCUAAAAAUUUUGGAGGUGCGUAGUUAUGGUGGCCACACAAUCUCAGAAUGGAUGAGAAACCCUCAAAUGUUCCGGUGCUUGAGAGAACUCAUUAUGAUGGAAUGCCGAGGAUGUAAGGACCUGCCAAUAGUAUGGUUGUCAUCCUCUCUUGAGCAUUUGUGUUUACGGCACAUGGAUAGCUUGACCACGUUGUGUAAGAACAUCGACGUGGAAGCUGAAGCAGACAAUACCUCUCUGCAAAUAUUCCCCAAGCUAAAGAGGAUGGAAUUAAUUGCUUUGCCUGAGUUGGACAGAUGGGCAGAAAAUAGUGCUGGAGAGAUUCUUAGCUCGGUGACGUUUCCCCGGCUUGAAAAACUAGUUAUUAAGAAUUGUGAUAAGCUUGCAAGUCUCCCAAGGUUACCGGUUCUCACAUAUCUCAAUCUAUCUGGCCGCGAAGGGAAUAAUUCUACAGGAGCUCUUAUUUCGAUGCCUUUGGGCUCUUUGCCAUCUCUUAUCCACUUAAGAAUAUCAUUUUUGCUGGUAGACGUGAUGAUGCCUCCAGACGGCGAGGAAAGCCAGAGUCAAAGACCUUUGGACACACUACGAUAUUUGACACUUGAGGGUGACGACGCCUUCAUAACGAUAUUUAAUAAAUCCAAAUUGCAACUUGGGCUUGGAGCUCUGCACAUUAGUCGUUGCUCCAAACUUGACGGAAUCCUUCCUCUGCUCCCCAAGUUUCCCGCAUCCCUCGAGGAAAUCUGGAUUGACAACAACAGAAGUUUGGUGGCGCUGCCUUCAAACCUCGGAGAUCUGACCAAGCUGAGGAGACUCUCUGUGUGGAGUUGCAAUGCACUGAAAGCGUUGCCAGAUGGGAUGGAUGGUCUCACUUCCCUUGAGGAGUUGGUUAUUGAUGGUUGUCCAGGGAUAGAGAAAUUUCCGCAGGGUCUCCUGCACCGGCUCCCUGCCCUCAAAUACCUACAAAUAGGUGGCUGCCCUGACCUGCAGAGGCGUUGCAGAGAAGGUGGGGAGUACUUUGACUUGAUCGCUUCUAUUCCCGAUAAAGUCAUUGAAGCACCCGCACAGCCACGAAAGUGGUUCCUUCCCUCCUGCGGUGGUGGUUCUCAAGGCAACUGAGUAUGUCAUCGGAUUGACUACACUUGGAGUUGAGUUGGGUUUGGACUGAUCACUGGACGCGGUGCUCCACAUUAACCAAUCCGUGUCUCCUCGCUGGUUUUGUGCUGCAUAAGCAUUAUCGUUUCUCGGCAAAGGACAAUACAAAAAAUUAGAAGCCUGUUCCAUUCUGUGCCACGGAAGCCUCUUCUUGUCUCGCUGAUCAAGGCACGCGAAAUGCACAGCAGUGCAGGAUGAUCGAGCACAUGACAAUACGUCACAAGGAAGAAGUAAGUUAAGACUAAAAGGAAAAUCCUCUCAAGAGAUUAGUGCAACUGGGAUGAAGAAAGCACGGAACAUCGUGAUACCUCAAAUUCCGCUCGACGUGUCGAAUGGAACGCACUGCUGAGUGGUGGCAUGCCGGCCUGUGUGCAUAUCUUGAUGAGGGGACUAGAAUCAUGUUGCGAUCAUGCAGUUAGAUCAUCUCGUGUCGAGAACAAGAGCCGUGUCUGAAAAUACGCCCAAGAAAGAGAGCAUCCACCGGAGGCCACAAGAUGUUCUGGAACUGAAUUCUUGAAGAAUACCACAGGGUCUCUUUGGAAGAAUGUGACAGAAGAAUGAUCCACCAAACUGUUUGCAAAGAGAUCCUCCCUUCCCGGCCUUCAAAACAUCUGAUGCUGCAUUUUAAUUCCAGCAAGCCUUGGAAUUGCCGGCAAAUUUGGAAUCUUUUGGGUAGUAUUCAUGUAACCUUUGUCACAGUCUCCAAACCCCUGAUCCUCUCAAUUUGUUGAAGCAAAGGUGCGCCUGUUUCUUCAAGAUGAACCGCGUGAGGAGAAUUGCAGGAAUUGGCAAGGCUAAGGUUCCAUCUGCAGUUCAAAAAGACAGAGAUGAGAGCAUCGUUUUCUUCAGGGAGCUGUACAAGCGUGAGAAGGAUAAGGAUGUGAACCUCUUGGAACCAAUGUAUUCGGUCGAGUUUGAAGCUAUCCAAGGUGGCCAUGGCUGCAAAGUUCCCCCAGGAAAGAGAGACUUCCUCAUACCAGUGGACGAGAAGCAUGACUAUGACUGGUUGAUGACACCUCCAGCUGCACCACUGUUUCCUUCCCUUGAGAUUGAAGCCAACUCCUCCCAAAUGGUGUUCCAAAGGGUACCAAUCCCUACUCGUCAAGUUAAACCAUCAGCUCCAAGGCUCUUAGCCAAGCCUGAGGCAACUAAAGCAUCGGCACGACCAGCAUCACCCACAUCCAACUCUUCGUCGAGAAAAACCUUCAUCAAAGGCGCUCCAGCCAUCUCCAAAGAGAAGAAGCAACCUCACACCGCAGGCCAGAGAUCAGACCACAAGGUUCCAGUGAAUGGACAUCAGAAGGCCGCUGCUGCAGCUGUUCCAGCAGGUACCCGAACCAGUGGCGCGCCGAAGAAACACUCGGAGAGGUGCUAUGCAACCCAAACCGGUGGCACAAGCGCAACCAAGGGAGUGACAGACCAAGAAACCCCUUUCAAGGCUCCGAAGAAUCUGAUCACAACAACCCGGUCGAUAUUCCGGCGCCGAACUCCAUCGGCGGAGAAUGCUCGGAGCAAAGAUCCUGGGUCCGGUGCAGAUGUCAAGAAGGAGAACGGCAAGGCGAGGAGGCAGUCGUAUCCGCCGCCGGCGAUAAGAGGCAUGACGGAGCUGCAGUUACAGGACAGGCGGGAUGCGCUGCCGCCGAGAGGGAAGAGUGUGGCUGGGAGCGGCGGCGAGCUCGCCACCGGCAACGGUGGCCGUGCGGGGAGGGCAUCACUGAUGAAGGGCACGGGAAGAACUGAUGGGAGAGCAUGGGUCUGAUAUGAGCUUCGAAGCCAGGCGACGAAGGGAGCAUAUACUUCUACAGCCAUUUCCGGAAUCUGAAAUUCAUAUGGCGCCCUUGUAUUGCCAACUUUGCAAAAACAAAAUUAGAUAAAUCUAAUGCCAAAUCCUUCAGUUGUUGCUA